AAGCUUUCACUGGGCCUGAUAACAGACAACCACCAAGGGGCAAAUUGUUUAUAAUAGUCUAUAAGUACCUCAUUCUAUGGGUUCAUCAUGGAAACUUUUAUUGACAUGGUCCCUUUUAUUAAUGUUUGUGCUGGCAAAGACUGGAACAGCUUUGUUCAAUCUGAUGAUAUUAGGCUACUAAGGCCUCUAAUGAGCAUCUCAUAUCUUCAGGUCACAGUCAGUUUAAAUGAUUGGUAUUAGGGCCAGGAUACCAUGUGCUCAUCUGAACCCUAUGAGAUGGCUACAUUAUGCCUGCCCCAUACAGAGCUGACAUCCUCACAGGGCCCAUCUCUGAGACUGCUAAAACAUUAACUUGCAUGUGAGCAUGUGGCAGGACAAGUUCUCAUUUCCAAGGGGACUUUUCAGACCCUGGUUCUACUCAAAAGAAGGCAUCAUGAAAAAAGGGCAUUCACACUGGCCUGUGAAAGUGGCAAGAGGGAAAAAUCUUUGUUAAACUCAGGGGUCAACAAAAAGGAAUUAGCCACAACAAGUCAUUCUCCUGAAGCUACAAGUAAUGGAAUUCCCUUGAAGAGCUGGGUAGCUUGGGAUUAUUUUGAAGUUCAAACUUCUCUUCCUGGUCAAUGAGUGUUUCACAAAGGAGCAUGGAAUUAAUUUAAAUUCAAGGCUACAGACAAAACAGAUGGCUCACAAAUAGCUUAUGAAUGUUUUCUUGUAUAAGAAUAACUCUGUGAUCCACCGCUGAGUUCACUGGUGAAGUGUCUGGCCACAGCAAGGGACCUGUUCCUCCUGCCACACUGGUGUAAACCAGAAUUAAUUCAGUUGAAACAAAUAGAAAGAUGAAGUCAGGCUAAAGCAAAUCAAA